rnacentral:rRNA from 1 species
UACGUAGGCAGCGAGCGUUGUUCGGAAUUACUGGGCGUAAAGAGUGUGUAGGCGGUGCUCUAAGUUCGGUGUGAAAUCUCCUGGCUCAACUGGGAGGGUGCGCCGGAAACUGGAGUGCUUGAGCGUGGGAGAGGAAAGCGGAAUUCCUGGUGUAGCGGUGAAAUGCGUAGAUAUCAGGAGGAACACCUGUGGUGUAGACGGCUUUCUGGACCAUAGCUGACGCUGAGGAGCGAAAGCGUGGGGAGCGAACAGG